ACGGAGGAUGCGAGCGUUAUCCGGAUUCAUUGGGUUUAAAGGGUGCGCAGGCGGCGCAGCGAGUCAGUGGUGAAAUUCUGCCGCUCAACGGUAGGGCUGCCAUUGAUACUGUUGCGCUUGAGUGCGGUUGAGGCAGGUGGAAUGUGCAGUGGAGCGGUGAAAGGAAUGUUAUUGGCACAGACCCCCGAGGGCGAGGGGAUCUUCCAAAGCCGUUACUGACGCUGAGGCACGAAAGCGUGGGGAUCGAACAG
rnacentral:rRNA from 1 species